GGAGCAGUACCGUGAGGGAAAGGUGAAAAGGACCCCGGGAGGGGAGUGAAAGAGAACCUGAAACCUUGUGCUUACAAACAGUCAAAGGCCUACGGGCUGAUGGCGUACUUUUUGUAGAACGGUCCGGCGAGUUACUAAUGCCAGCGAGGUUAAGUGGUCAGAAGCCACGGAGCCGAAGGGAAACCAAGUCUGAAUAGGGCGUAAAGUUGGUAUUAGUAGACCCGAAACCGGGUGACCUAUCCAUGUCCAGGUUGAAGGAACCGUAAAAGGUUUUGGAGGACCGAACACACAUGUGUUGAAAAACGUGGUGAUGAGGUGUGGAUAGCGGAGAAAUUCCAAUCGAACUCGGAGAUAGCUGGUUCUCCUCGAAAUAGUUUUAGGACUAGCCUUGUUUAGUAGUAUGUGGGGGUAGAGCACUGAAGGAGCUAGGGGCCAAACCAGGUUACCGAACUCUAUCAAACUCCGAAUACCAUAUAUGUAAGAACAGGAGUCAGACUGCGGGAGCUAAGUUCCGUGGUCAAAAGGGAAAGAGCCCAGAUCGUCAAUUAAGGUCCCAAAGAUAUAGUUAAGUGGAAAACGAUGUGAUUUUGCGUAAACAACCAGGAUGUUGGCUUAGAAGCAGCCAUUCAUUUAAAGAGUGCGUAAUAGCUCACUGGUCGAGUGAAGUUGCGCGGAAAAUUACCGGGGCUAAACUAUACACCGAAAUUGCGGAUUUGCAUGUAAGUGCAAGUGGUAGAGGAGCAUUCUAUAGUAGGACGAAGCAUAAUCGAAAGGAUAUGUGGACGAGAUAGAAGAGAGAAUGCCGGAAUAAGUAGCGAAAGCAUGGUGAGAAUCCAUGCCAUCGAAAGUCUAAGGUUUCCUGGGGAAGGUUCGUCCGCCCAGGGUAAGUCGGGACCUAAGGUGAGGCUGAAAGGCGUAGCCGAUGGAUAGCAGGUUGAGAUUCCUGCACCACCGAAAUACUUAAAAGAUGUAAGGGACACAGGAGUGGAAGGAAAGCGAGGAAGAGGAAAGACUCGUAUCGAAAGAUAUAGUGAAAAUAGAAAGUAACGAAUUUCCAAGAAGCACACUGGCGAGAAAAGCUUGCAGAUAUUGUAUAGAGGUGCCCGUACCGCAAACCGACACAGGUAGAUGAGGAGAGGAUCCUAAGAUGAGCGAGAGAAGCAUUGUUAAGGAACUCGGCAAACUGACCCCGUAACUUAGGGAGAAGGGGUACUGGGAUAAAACCCAGUCGCAGAGAAUAGUCCCAAGCAACUGUUUAACAAAAACACAGGUUUCUGCUAAAUCGAAAGAUGAAGUAUAGGAGCUGACACCUGCCCAGUGCUGGAAGGUUAAGGGGAAAUGUCAGGAGUAAUCCGAAGCAUAGAACCAAAGCCCCAGUGAACGGCGGCCGUAACUAUAACGGUCCUAAGGUAGCGAAAUUCCUUGUCAGGUAAGUUCUGACCCGC
rnacentral:rRNA from 1 species